rnacentral:rRNA from 2 species
GAACUGAAGAGUUUGAUCCUGGCUCAGAUUGAACGCUGGCGGCAUGCCUUACACAUGCAAGUCGAACGGCAGCACGGGAGCAAUCCUGGUGGCGAGUGGCGAACGGGUGAGUAAUACAUCGGAACGUGUCCUGUAGUGGGGGAUAGCCCGGCGAAAGCCGGAUUAAUACCGCAUACGCUCUACGGAGGAAAGGGGGGGAUCUUCGGACCUCCCGCUACAGGGGCGGCCGAUGGCAGAUUAGCUAGUUGGUGGGGUAAAGGCCUACCAAGGCGACGAUCUGUAGCUGGUCUGAGAGGACGACCAGCCACACUGGGACUGAGACACGGCCCAGACUCCUACGGGAGGCAGCAGUGGGGAAUUUUGGACAAUGGGGGAAACCCUGAUCCAGCAAUGCCGCGUGUGUGAAGAAGGCCUUCGGGUUGUAAAGCACUUUUGUCCGGAAAGAAAACCUCUGGGUUAAUACCCCGGGGGGAUGACGGUACCGGAAGAAUAAGCACCGGCUAACUACGUGCCAGCAGCCGCGGUAAUACGUAGGGUGCAAGCGUUAAUCGGAAUUACUGGGCGUAAAGCGUGCGCAGGCGGUCCGCUAAGACAGAUGUGAAAUCCCCGGGCUUAACCUGGGAACUGCAUUUGUGACUGGCGGGCUAGAGUAUGGCAGAGGGGGGUAGAAUUCCACGUGUAGCAGUGAAAUGCGUAGAGAUGUGGAGGAAUACCGAUGGCGAAGGCAGCCCCCUGGGCCAAUACUGACGCUCAUGCACGAAAGCGUGGGGAGCAAACAGGAUUAGAUACCCUGGUAGUCCACGCCCUAAACGAUGUCAACUAGUUGUCGGGUCUUCAUUGACUUGGUAACGUAGCUAACGCGUGAAGUUGACCGCCUGGGGAGUACGGUCGCAAGAUUAAAACUCAAAGGAAUUGACGGGGACCCGCACAAGCGGUGGAUGAUGUGGAUUAAUUCGAUGCAACGCGAAAAACCUUACCUACCCUUGACAUGUAUGGAA